CUUUGCUUACUUAUUGUAAUGCCAGUUCAAACACUGUUUCUGUGCCAUUCAUUAUGGGAAAAAUGGUGUGUAGAGGAGAGAUAAGUUUGUUUUUCUAAGGUCUGAAUAUUGAGUUGAAAUGUGGGAAUAGUCUGAAAUUAGGCAGUCUGUGUAUGUCAUUUGAAUGUUAUUUGAAAAUGCCUGCUAACCUAGGGGUAAAACCAUGCAAUAAAGAUACUGUGCGGCUUGAAUGCGUAAUGUAUAUAUAGCACCCCAUACAUAAUAAACCCUUGAUAAAUAGUGGCUCUUUUACUGUGUUUACUGGGUGUCACACUUCAGUUUUAUUCCCUGCUACUAGACGUCUGGAACAAUAAACCAACAUGAAAAUAACUGAGAAAAAACAUCUCAGUGGUAGAAGACAGCCUUUGUCCUGAGGCAGGGGUAAGAGAGAGGGCUGAGGAACACUUUGUUCUGUUGGUUUUUACUAUAGUAGAGAUAGUACACAUUGCACUUGGAAAUUCAGAUUAGAAUGAGCAUAUCAACAAAUAUGGUUUCCUAAAUUCUGGGGAUACAGUGAUAAACAGAACAGACCAAAUCUGGAGUGAAGGGAAAAAUACUAUGUGACAAGCACGUUAAAGAAGAAAGGGAAAUACGUGGCGGAGAGGGGAGGGCUAGUGGCUUGCCAUUUGCUGGAUGAUCAGAAAGGCCUAUCUGAGCUGGUCCUUGAAAAGUGGACCUUAAGAUACGAGGGAAGAACAUUCUAGGAGAGAAGUAAACUCUGUGAGCUCUUAGAAAAGAAAAGCAGGCUGUGUAUAUGCAGGGGGUGGGGGCAGAAGAAAGUGAGAAGUGAAGGUAAAGAGGGAGACGGAGCCCAGAUCUCAUAGCUCUUUAUAACAUUAAAGGUCUUUCAGUUCAGUUCAGUUCAGUUCAGUUGCUCAGUUGUGUCCAGCUCUUUGUGACACCAUAAACUGCAGCAUGCCAGGCCUCCCUGUCCAUCACCAACUCCCGGAGUUCCCCCAAACUCACGUCCAUCGAGUCCGUGAUGCCAUCCAGCCAUCUCAUCCUCUGUUGUCCCCUUCUCCUCCUGCCCCCAAUCCCUCCCAGCAUCAGGG
ensembl:lncRNA